AUGAAUCUAAUGAGUUGGAACUGCCGGGGAGGGGGGAAUUCCCGUAUAGUUCGUGAGUUAGCGACGCUUGUUCAGUCGCAUUCCCCCAUGUUGGUCUUCUUGUGUGAAACUAGCCAGAAGGAAGAAAGGAUGAAGAGGUUGAGAGGUCGCCUAGGCCUGAAGGGCUUUGAAUGUGUUGAUAGCAAUGGACUCAGUGGUGACCUUGCACUAUAUUGGCAUGAAAAUUGUCUGGUGGAUAUCUUGGAUAGGGACGAGAGUUAUAUUGAUAUUGCAGUUCGUAUGCAGGCGGAUGCACCUCAGUGGAGGGUGACCUUUGUUUAUGGGGAGCCUAGGGUAGAAAAUAGACAUAUCAUGUGGCAGAAACUAUAUUCCUUGUAUACCACCUCGGACCUUCCUUGGGUGGAACCCUCGGCCUCUUGGGCGCCCCUCCUGAUGGUUGGGUGA
rnacentral:rRNA from 1 species